UACGAAGGGGGCUAGCGUUGUUCGGAUUUACUGGGCGUAAAGCGCACGUAGGCGGGUCGUUAAGUCAGGGGUGAAAUCCUGGAGCUCAACUCCAGAACUGCCUUUGAUACUGGCGACCUAGAGUCCGGAAGAGGUGAGUGGAACUCCUAGUGUAGAGGUGGAAUUCGUAGAUAUUAGGAAGAACACCAGUGGCGAAGGCGGCUCACUGGUCCGGUACUGACGCUGAGGUGCGAAAGCGUGGGGAGCAAACAGG
rnacentral:rRNA from 1 species